rnacentral:rRNA from 1 species
AUUGAACGCUGGCGGCAGGCCUAACACAUGCAAGUCGAACGAGUGGCGGACGGGUGAGUAAUGUCUGGGAAACUGCCCGAUGGAGGGGGAUCACUACUGGAAACGGUAGCUAAUACCGCAUACCAUUGGAUGUGCCCAGAUUGGAUUAGCUAGUAGGUGGGGUAACGGCUCACCUAGGCGACGAUCCCUAGCUGGUCUGAGCGGGUGACCAGGCACAAUGGGACUGGGGCACGGUACAGACGCCUACGGGAGGCAGCAGUGGGGGAUAUUGCACAAAGGGCGCAAGCCUGAGGCAGCCAUGCCGAGGCGAUGAAGAAGGCCGUCGGGUUGUAAAGCAAUUUCAACGAGGAGGCGGUACUCGGAGGAGAAACAACGGCUAACUCCGUGCCAGCCGCCGCGGUAAUUC